CAACUACCUACAUUUCAAUUUGUCCAAGACAACAAGGCCAACACCUCUAUGCUUAUGAAAAUUCCAUGAGAUCAUUGAUGACAAGUGGUCAGAACUUGGAGUUUCUGGUGUCAUCCAGAAAUUGCCACCUAACAGCAAAGUGCUCCCAGCCACCAUGAUAGGGCAGUGGUUCAGUAUGGAUUCAGAAUAGUAUGAGAGGUGUCAUUCAACUAAAUCACUAAUGUCGUUUUCUAUAGUUUUCUGAGUUUUCCUUGGAGGUUUCCUAUUCAGGUACUCAUUAGUCUAGUUGUUGCUUAGUUUAUGAGAUCAAAUAUACCGCAUCCAGGGAAGUUUUGUAAUAAAUGAUGUAGAAAUGGAGGUUACUAACCUGUAACUGGAGGUUCUUCAAGAUGUGUGGUCCAUUUCUGUUCCCCACAUUGGUACACAUGAGCAUCAUGCACCUAAGACCAGAGAUUUUAGAUAAGCAGCAUUUGUUGGUUUGCAUACGCCCAGUUGUUCUCCUUUUGUUUUGAAUCCAGGGCACAAGGGGCAGUGGACCGGUGCUUCUCCAGUUUCUUCCCCUACUGUGAAUCCAGUUAUCAGUUGCAACAGAGGGGAUGGAGAGUGGGUAGUGGAAAACAGAUAGGGACUGCACAUCUCGAAGAACCACCAGUUACAAAUAAAAGGCCACUGCUAUUCAGACAGCUAGAUAAUGAAGCCUUCUUACCUCAUCAGAGGCAUGUGUUUUUGGAAAAAACUAUCAACUGAAGCAGUCGAAAGAGGAAACUGUGGACACAGAAGAUUCUGACCCAGGCCAUGUGGCAGUAAGAAGGAACUGGAGAGGCACCAGGACACAUUGCCCCUCUUUGCCCUCAGAACAACGGACACUGCUUACUAAAAAUAUCUGGGUUUAGGCGCAUGGGGCACAUGCACACCCACAUGUGGAAUACAUAGGGACCAUCACUCAAAGAAGAAUCUUUGUUUUUAAAAUUAAAUGAAUAUCAAAGUCUGUAUUUUAAAUGUUAAGUUAUGGACCUACCAAACAAAUGUAAGGACACGAAACAUAUUGGAGUAGAUCCUCAGCUGGUGUAAAUUGUCAUUACUGUUGAUUCCAUUUUGUUCACUUAUGCUAUACAGGAGUUAAUGCUGAUUUGUGACAGCUUUAGCUUUGAAUUUCAAGGGUUUUGUUGGUUUGACAAACAAUUUACAGUUUACAUAUUUUACACAUAUGCCCACACAAACAUAUAUACACAUAUGCAUAUUUAGUAUUACAAUAUAGUGGAAACAAUCUUUCCAGUUAUACCUGAAAUAAAAUAUUUUUUCAUUCUAACACACCACCAAUAUCUCUAGCCAGUACGUUAAAGAAAAGCACUAUAAGAAAAUGCCUGAUGUGAGAAAAUGAAAGAUUAAUUUAAACAUGGAUCUCUGUAAAAGGAAUAAAAAUAAAAUUUGCACUUUUUAAAAUA